AUGCCAAUGUGGUUAUGUGCCGAUAUCAAUGAACUGACUGAUGUUGUCACCAGCUGGUCUGUGUACUCUGAGAAUAUCAUUAUCCCAGUGAAAACAAUCAAAGUUUAUCCUAAUUCCAAACCAUGGAUAACAAAGUCCCUUAGACCUCUUCUUCAAAUGAAGAACAAAGCCUUUAAAGAGGGUAAUUCAGUAGAACUGAGACGUCUGCAAAAAGAAAUUAAAAGAGAGGUCUGGGCUGGCAAAAAGACCUAUAAAGAUAAAAUUGAGAGCCAACUUAAAGCUAAUAAUCUUGGCUCUGUCUGGGACGGCAUGAAAACCAUCACUGGGCUGAAAGAGAAAAGAAAAAAGGUUUCUUUAGCCAAUUACACCAGUGACUUGCACCUUGCACAGAGCCUCAACAAUUUUUAUGUCAGAUACGAAACGCACGAUUUUAGCGAGGAACACUCGGUGAUCAAAAAUAGACAUCUGUCCGCCCCCCCCUCUAAACCCUUUUUUAUGGAACAGGAUGUGAUCAAUUGCUUCAAAAAAUGCAACCCCCGUAAAGGCCCAGGCCCCGAUCACAUCGGCGGCCGUUUAUUAAAUACCUGUGCGGAUCAAUUGGGUCCCAUUUUUAAUUUGAUUUUUAACAGAUCUCUCAGACUGCAGAUAGUACCCUCCCUCUGGAAACAGUCUACCAUAGUACCCAUUGGCAAGCGCAUUAAUCCAAAAACACUUAGCGAUUUCAGACCCGUAGCCCUUACUUCCCUGGUUAUGAAGCAAUUUGAGAAACUUGUCAAAUCAGAGCUUGUGGAAAAAACAAAGAGCCUUCUUGACCCUUUUCAAUUUGCUUAUAGGGAGGGAAGAGGUGUCCAGGAUGCUACUGCUACUCUUUUAAAUCUGCUUUUUAAACACCUUGAGGGCAGUAAGAAGCACGCCAGGCUACUUUUUGUCGAUUUCUCCUCGGCUUUUAACACGAUCCAGCCCCAUGUUCUUAUUGACAAGCUAGUUAACACCUUUAGCCUAGACCCAUGUUUAGUAGGUUGGAUACUGGAUUUUUUAACUAACAGAUCCCAAUGUAAAUGUACUUGUUGUGUUGUAGGAAGUACCAAUGUACUUCCUACAACUUAA
rnacentral:lncRNA from 1 species